AGCGAACGCUGGCGGCAGGCUUAACACAUGCAAGUCGAACGGGCUUCUUCGGAAGUCAGUGGCAGACGGGUGAGUAACACGUGGGAACGUGCCCUUCGGUUCGGAAUAACUCAGGGAAACUUGAGCUAAUACCGGAUACGCCCUUAUGGGGAAAGGUUUACUGCCGAAGGAUCGGCCCGCGUCUGAUUAGCUUGUUGGUGGGGUAACGGCCUACCAAGGCGACGAUCAGUAGCUGGUCUGAGAGGAUGAUCAGCCACACUGGGACUGAGACACGGCCCAGACUCCUACGGGAGGGAGCAGUGGGGAAUAUUGGACAAUGGGGGCAAGCCUGAUCCAGCCAUGCCGCGUGAGUGAUGAAGGCCUUAGGGUUGUAAAGCUCUUUUGUCCGGGACGAUAAUGACGGUACCGGAAGAAUAAGCCCCGGCUAACUUCGUG
rnacentral:rRNA from 1 species